GCAGAGCCGUGGCCCUCUUCUUUGUUCUCUGCUGGAUCCAAGAGUCGGAGUCUCCCUAUGUUUCCCAGGCUGGUCUCGAACUCCUGACCUCAAGUGAUCCUCCCACCUCAGCCUCCCAGAGCGCUGGGAUUGAAGACGUGAGCCACCGCACCUGGCCUGAAUUUUCCUCAGAUUCAAAAAAUCCUGAUGAAGGUUUGGCUAAAAUCUUUGGCUAUUCCCAACAAAAGAGCUUGAACAGUGCUGCAUUUGCAUCAGGUUCAAAUGAGCGAGAGGAACAUUUGGCUAAAAUAUUUGAUGAAAUUCUACUGCAGGUGUUUCCAAAGGUUCCGUAUCAUCCAUCAUUUAACGAAACAACAGCAGUCAGAUCCAUUACAAAGACAGACAUGAGAAAAGGAACCAGUGUUGUUUGGAAAUCUCCUAAACCAGAAUAUUUCCUUGGCAGUGUGGACAAAAUUCCCGAUAAAGAUCACCUUUCAGAGGAGAAGAGUUUUAAAGAAUCCUCUCUGUUCGACAGGGUUUUAAGAGAGCAGUUAACUACUGUAGAUAAAGAAACACUUCAAGGGGCAGCUAAACCAGAUGCUCACUUUAGGACUAUGCCCUGCGGGCAGCUUCUGCACUUCCUGCAGAGGAACACCAUCAUCGCCGCCGUCUCAGGGGUGGCCAUCCUCAUGGCCACCGUGCUGUUGCUGCUUGGGUUGGCCUCAUACAUCAGGAAGAAACAGCCAUC
rnacentral:sRNA from 1 species